rnacentral:lncRNA from 1 species
AAUUUUCCAGAGUCUGAUUUUUUUACACUAUGUCCGUUGUUCAUUUGUCAAUUUUUUCUAGUUUGAAUUUUGAUGUACUUAUUUUUUCAAUUUUUAUUAACAUAUCAAACUGCUCAAAUCUAGAAUGUCAUAAUUUUUCACAAACACAAUUAAUUUUGAUAAACGUUUUUAGCCAACAAUAAACUAUGAAACAGGGAAAAUCAUAAACAUGAAUUAAAAACAACAUUGGAAACUUCAAAAGCAUAAUGGAAUUGAAUGGAAAUUGCACUUGUAUGGAAC